GAUGAAGAACGUAGCGAAAUGCGAUACUUGGUGUGAGUUGCAGAAUCCCGUGAACCAUCGAGUCUUUGAACGCAAGUUGCGCCUCAAGCCAUUAGGUUGAGGGCACGUCUGCCUGGGCGUCACAUAUCGUUGCCUGAUGCCAGUUUCCUCGUGAUGGGUGACUGUGCAGGGCGAAUGAUGGCUUCCCGUGAGCAUUGUUGCCUCAUGGUUGGUUGAAAAUUGAGUCCUUGGUAGGGAGCGCCGUGAUAGAUGGUGGUUGAGUGACGAACGAGACCCAAUCAUGUGAGACCCCUACCGAAUUUGGCCUUCAUGCCCCACAUGCGUCUUUGGAACGCUCAUGACGAGACCUCAGGUCAGGCGGGGCUACCCGCUGAGUUUAAGCAUAUCAAUAAGCGGAGGA
rnacentral:misc_RNA from 1 species